GAGCAAUGUGUUUUUCGGAAUUCCCUUUCCCCACAUUAAGUGCUCUCUCGGUCCAUACGUUUUCGCACGUUUUAUGCGAAAUCUACAUUUUAGGCUUCGGAGUUUUGUGAGUCGGCUAAAGUGCGAAGAAUAGUAAUUGGUAACCAACCGAUACAGGAGUAUAUUAAAUCGAACAUUUUAGUGUUUGGUUCGCUUGCUCUCCUAACGGAAGAACAAUCAAGAAGCGUAACGAUAUAGAGUACGAAAACUCCUACAAACCGCCGACGUGGUCGUUCUUAAUAUGCACUUAUAGCGUAUUGAAAAUUCUAAUUCAGUGACUUAAGACAAUUUAUUCUAAAGAAGGUUCCAACUUGCCAAUCAAAUAUGUGAUUAUUCGGACUUUCAAAUUACUCCAGCUUUCAGAAAUUAUAUUAAAUAUUUAGUGCGAUGAAGUUUGAGUGAAAACUGCUCAAAAUAUUGACCGAAUUUGGAAAGUAUUGGAACUUUUAAAAUAAAUAAGAAAUUAUUGACGUUUCGAGUCUAUAAAGGUACAGAAAUAAAAAAGCCAUUUUUGCUGCGAAGUCAGGACUAUACGGUGGAUGACUCAUCAAAGCGAUUUAGUGAGUGCUUAAAAUUACAAUUAUUUCAGUCGUUAUAUGAAAGCUCGUAAAGUGUGAUCCGUUUUCGGCGAUAAGUUUUCCUGAUUGUU